UACAGAGGUCCCAAGCGUUGUUCGGAUUCAUUGGGCGUAAAGGGUGUGUAGGUGGCGCCGUAAGUCGGGUGUGAAAUUUCGGAGCUUAACUCCGAAACUGCAUUCGAUACUGCGGUGCUUGAGGACUGGAGAGGAGACUGGAAUUCAUGGUGUAGCAGUGAAAUGCGUAGAGAUCAUGAGGAAGACCAGUGGCGAAGGCGGGUCUCUG
rnacentral:rRNA from 1 species